GCUCCAAGCAGGAACACCUGGGACAAAGCGCCCCAUGGGGAACCUCUCAGAUAAGCUACUUGAUUUCUUAAUCCUUCUGUCCUUCGGUCAAAUCAGCUGGAAAGCAGGAAUAGGGAAAGGGGUGGGAAAAACCUCCUGAGGAAUCAGAGGCUGAGUCUGAGCCAGAUGCAACUUCUAUUUUGAUUGAGAGAUGAAAAGUCAUCAUUUUAAUUCAGGUCAAAUAAGCAUUCCUGAAAGAAGCCAAGAGGAAGGCACAUUUUCAACAUGACAUAAAAAAAGGGCUGAUAUAACAAAGAAAUUAAAGAAUAUCAAAGCCAACACAGUAAAAAGUGGAACCAGAUUAGCAGAAAGAACGUUUCCUCGGUCAUGAGGGAAUUUAAUUCUUAUCACCUGCUGUGGAAGAUUGGCAACAGCAUUCCUGACCUAAAGAAUAAACUUCUAAUUG
rnacentral:lncRNA from 1 species